AGAGUUUGAUUCUGGCUCAGAACGAACGCUGGCGGCGUGGAUAAGACAUGCAAGUUGAGCGAUGAACUGACGAUAGCAAUAUCUGACGGGAUUAGCAGCGAACGGGUGAGUAACACGUAGGAAUCUGCCCCAAAGUUCGGAAUAGCCUGGCGAAAGUCAGGGUAAUACCGGAUGUGAUCUUCGGAUUAAAGGCUUCGGUCGCUUUGGGAUGAGCCUGCGUUCCAUCAGCUUGUUGGUAGGGUAAAAGCCUACCAAGGCGAAGACGGAUAGCUGGUCUGAGAGGACGGUCAGCCACAAUGGAACUGAGACACGGUCCAUACACCUACGGGUGGCAGCAGUCGAGAAUCAUUCGCAAUGGACGAAAGUCUGACGGUGCGACGCCGCGUGGGGGAUGAAGGCCUUAGGGUCGUAAACCCCUGUCGGGUGCGAGUAAGGUCCUACUUACGUAGGAAUUGAUAUUAGCAUCAAAGGAAGGGACGGCUAACUCCGUGCCAGCAGCCGCGGUAAUACGGAGGUCCCAAGCGUUGUUCGGAUUCACUGGGCGUAAAGCGUGCGUAGGCGGAGAAAUAAGUUUGGCGUGAAAGCCCCGGGCCCAACCCGGAAAUUGCGUUGAAAACUAUUUCCCUAGAGGAUUGGAGGGGAGACUGGAAUUCCUGGUGUAGCAGUGAAAUGCGUAGAUAUCAGGAGGAACACCGGUGGCGAAGGCGAGUCUCUGGACAAUUCCUGACGCUGAGGUACGAAGGCUAGGGUAGCGAAAAGGAUUAGAUACCCUUGUAGUCCUAGCAGUAAACGGUGUGCACUUGCUGUAGGCGGAUUCGACCCCGCCUGUGGCGAAGCUAACGCGUUAAGUGCACCGCCUGGGGAGUACGGUCGCAAGAUUAAAACUCAAAGAAAUUGAC
rnacentral:rRNA from 1 species